rnacentral:lncRNA from 10 species
CUAAAUAUUCUUUUCAAAAUGAAGGCCAGAUCCCAUCUCAUGGAGGUGUUUGAUUUGUCUUGGGGUAGCAGAACUCCAGCUUUAUUCCAGCCACCCUUCCCUGGCUUUCUCUGCCUCUACCACCUACUCUCAGUAACUUUGAUCACUUCUGCCUCAAGCCUCUGCAAAUCUAGCACCUUCUCUCCAUCUUCUAAAUUAAUAUUAGAAGUUGAAGAUCUGCAAAGGGCUUUUACCUAACUUUGACCAGUAACAUAUUGUUCUAUGUGGGCCAAGUGGUGACCAGGUCUCAUUUGGUGACCUCCAGGAUCACUGGAAGAAGAAGGUCCUGACCAUCAAGGUUAAAUGAUUCUCAUGUUGUUCACACCAUCUAGUAAUUAAAGGCAUGCCUAAU